ACGGACUCAUCAUUCCAGCCAAUCAGCAGCAGACCCUCCCUCCCAGACCCUACCACCUCCUGGACAGCAUCCAUUUUGAAGCUGCAUUCUUAGUGAGCUGUCCAGGAGGUGGGAGGGUCUGGGAGGGAGGGUCUGCUGCUGAUUGGCUGGAAUGAUGAGUCCG
rnacentral:miRNA from 1 species